GGGGAAUUUUCCGCAAUGGGCGAAAGCCUGACGGAGCAACGCCGCGUGAGGGAUGAAGGCCUCUGGGCUGUAAACCCCUUUUCUCAAGGAAGAAGAUCUGACGGUACUUGAGGAAUAAGCCACGGCUAAUUCCGUGCCAGCAGCCGCGGUCAUACGUAGGGUCCAAGCGUUAUCCGGAAUUACUGGGCGUAAAGAGUUGCGUAGGUGGCAUUGUAAGCGAGUAGUGAAAGCGUUCGGCUCAACCGGAUAAACAUUACUCGAACUGCAAAGCUAGAGGAUGAGAGAGGUUAUUGGAAUUCCCUGUGUAGGAGUGAAAUCCGUAGAUAUAGGGAGGAACACCGAUGGCGUAGGCAGAUAACUGGCUCAUUCCUGACACUAAGGCACGAAAGCGUGGGGAGCG
rnacentral:rRNA from 1 species